GGGCGGUUAGCUCAGUUGGUAGAGCGCCUGCUUUGCAAGCAGGAUGUCGCGGGUUCGAGUCCCUCACUGCCCA
rnacentral:tRNA from 1 species